rnacentral:rRNA from 1 species
UACGGGGGGGGUAAGCGUUGUCCGGAAUUACUGGGCGUAAAGGGCUCGUAGGCGGCCAACUAAGUCAGACGUGAAAUCCCUCAGCUUAACUGGGGAACUGCGUCUGAUACUGGAUGGCUUGGAUUUGGGAGAGGAAUGCGGAAUUCCAGGUGUAGCGGUGAAAUGCGUAGAUAUCUGGAGGAACACCGGUGGCGAAGGCGGCAUUCUGGACCAAUAUUGACGCUGAGACGCGAAAGCGUGGGGAGCAAACAGG